GUCUCAUAAAGGCCAUGUCUCCGUCGUCUGAGACCACUCUCAACAGGAUCUGCCCGAGGAUCUCCAGUGGCAUCUUCAUGAACAUCUGUUAUCAGAUGAUCCUCACAU